GACGAACGCUGGCGGCGUGCUUAACACAUGCAAGUCGAACGGUGAAGCGCCUUCCUUUUUGGUGGGUGUGGAUGAGUGGCGAACGGGUGAGUAACACGUGAGUAACCUGCCCCCUUCUUCUGGAUAACCGCAUGAAAGUGUGGCUAAUACGGGAUAUUCUGUGUCUGUCGCAUGAUGGGUCUGGGACAGAUAUUGUUUCGGUGGGGGAUGGGCUCGCGGCCUAUCAGCUUGUUGGUGGGGUGAUGGCCUACCAAGGCGGUGACGGGUAGCCGGCCUGAGAGGGUGGGCGGUCACAGUGGGACUGAGACACGGCCCAGACUACUACGGGAGGCAGCAGGGGGGAAUAUUGCACAGGGGGCGCAAGCAUGAUGCAGCGACGCCGCGGGAGGGAUGGAGGCCUUCGGGUUGUGAACCUCUUUCGCCAGUGAAGCAGGCCUGCCUCGUUUGUGGGUGGGUUGACGGUAGCUGGAUAAGAAGCGUCGGCUAACUACGUG
rnacentral:rRNA from 1 species